GCCCGUCGCUCCUACCGAUUGGAUGACUCGGUGAAAUCACCGGAUGCUUACGAGCAGAAAGUGAUUAAAUCACGUUAUCUAGAGGAAGGAGAAGUCGUAACAAGGUAACGGUAGGUGAACCUGCCGUUGGAUCAGUUCUAGUUUUAAUAACUAACACCAACUUCUUUUAUUAAACAAAAACCAAUACAAAAUUAAAAACUAACUUCAUCAAAAACCAAGUCUCUAAGC
rnacentral:rRNA from 1 species